CGUGGAAGUGUUUCUGCACGUGUGUGUGUUUUCAUUUGUGCUUCCCACACAAAAGCGAGGCCCCACAGGUGGAGAGGAGGGCGUGUGUGCGCGCCUGUAGAGCGGGGCUCGGGCUGCGUGGGAGCUGGGCGGGGAUGCGCACACAGGGACCGACUCCCACAGACUGUCCCCCUUCAGGUGUCCUGGUGCAGGCUUUCAGGGAAGAGAGAGCCCCUAACCUCGCCCCACCUCCCAAAACUUCUCCCCCUGCCGUUGGGCUAUGGUAAAGGGGAAAGGACAGGACGCAGGACCUUGAGGGAGGCAUUGAGUCAGAGGGCAGAGAGGGGUCAAGGAAACCCAGGCGGGAGGCGCGGAAGCAUACAGUCUGCGGGAACAACGACUGAACGGGGUAGUGGGAGCCAGGUCCCUGGUUCCCUUCACGCCCCCACCCCCAGCCUCAGCUCUGUCUGGGUGGAACGAAUGUCUGCUAAUGAACUAAACAAACAGGUCUCUUAAUCUUAUCAUGGAGCUGACCCAGAGACUGGCACAGAUAUCCAAAGUAUCAUAAUUGGCAGGUCAGAAUUAAAACUACAUACAUCAUGGUGACUUUAUAGCUGAGGCAAAGUGGAGCUCAAGUGUUACUUUCCCAGUAAGCAAAUCAUAAUGAAGUAUCAUGCUGGUGACUAAUUUAACUAACAUUGUCCAGGAAACUGCUGUUGUCCAGGAAGAGAAGAGUUGAGCUGAGUGUCAACUACUGGGCUUCUGGCACCAUCCUGCACAAGAAAUUGAUAAGUUCUACUGUGUUAUUUCCUAGCUUGGUGGUCUCAGUUGCAUCCCAGCUAACUUAUAGCCUAAAUUGACAGGCCCACCUCCAAUUUAUUAAUUCCUUGGUCUUAACUUCAAAAUAUAUCAUCUCAUGUUUACUCAAUUAUUUAUUGAACAAUCACUAUGUGUCAGUGUUGGAAUAUAUGAAGGAAAAAUCAAACAAAAAUUUUUUACCUUGUGGAGCUUACAUUCUGGAGGAGAAGACAAGUUAGAAAAGAGUACAUAAGUAAAUUAUAAUGUCUAUUAGAAGGUAAUAAGUGCAAUAGAGAAAAAUAAAGCAGAGUGGGCUGGGUGGUGCACAAGUUUAAAUACAAGAGUGCUCAGUAAAAAUCUCAUUGAGAAUGCUAAGCCUGAAUGAAUGAUUAAAGGAGGUGAGGGAGCAGGCAAGCCAUGCAAAUAUCUGGGAAGAUGGUCCCAGGAAGUGGGAAAAGCAGAUGUAAGUGGCCCUUAAAUAUGAUUGCACCUGGCAAGGUCUAGGAACAUUAAUGAAGCCUUGAGAACAGGACACAGUGAAGGGAGAGGGUCAAUGAGGGUAGGCUUAGAAGACAGAUCACUGGGUGGGGCCAAUUAAAGGACUUGGAAUUUUACUCCAAAUGACAGCGGAGGACACAAGACACAGAGGGAGUGACAUGAUCAUCUGACUUUUGUUUAAUAGAUCACUCUGGCUCCCAUGUUGAGAAUUAAUUAUAGGAGCAGAGAAGGAAGCAGGGAGAUCUGUUAUUAGGCUAUUGCAAGAAUCUAGGUAAGAGAUGAUGGCUUGGACUGGGUGAUAGCAAGAAAGAUAAUGAGAAUUGGUGGUGAUUUUGAAUUGCUUUGAAUGUAGAGCCAACAAUGAGUGGCUCGAAAGAAAAGAGGGAGUAAAGAGUAACUCCAAGCAUUUGGCCCUAGCAACCAGAAGGAUGAAGUUGCUAUUAAUUGAAAUGAGAAAGACUAUGGGUGGAGCAAAUUUUGGUGGAAGAAUCAGCUUAUAUGGGUUAAGACUGGAAUGCCUAUUAAGUUAAAUUUUAAAAAUAACUUACGUAAAGCUCUUAGAAUAGUUCCUGACUUUUUGUAAGUGCCAUACAAAUAUUUGUGGUGGUGAUUAUUAUUGUUAUUAAUGUUUGCCAACCAAAAUGAGAUGUUGAAUAGACAAUUGUACCAUGAUUGUGGUGGUAGUUGCAAAACUAUAUUUUGUUAUAAUCCAACUGUACACUCAAAAAUUGGUGAAUUUUAUUGUACGUAAACUAAACCUUAAAAAAAUUAUUAAAAAACAAAGAACUUACUCUCAUGUUUUAAAAGGGAGAAUAUGGAACUUUCCCAUCUGAGAAGCAGCAGCUUCGGAAGUAUCACCAUUUUGUAUACCCAUUGAAAUAACUGAUGUAAAUAAAGAUCACCAAUAGAUGCUAAAGCCAUUAAGUAAGGGUUUGAUGGAAAAUAGUGAGGUAGGUGAAUAGGGUCUGGAGGCAGAGAACCUAAGGCCGAUUCACGCUGACUUCCUAAAGCUAAAUCAAAAGGAAAACCCCAACUUCCCACACUUAAGUAAAAAAAGUACUGGAGGCUGCUCCCUUUACAAACCACCCUCUCCUUUCUGCGUGGCAGAUGGAGAAUUGAAAGUAUCUUUGAUUGGUUGCUUUCCACAACCAAUCAGAUGCUUGCAUAGGGUGUAACGUUUGUAACUUCACUUCAGCCUGAUUGGUUGCUUCCCUCCGACUGAUUGCCGGCCACUACUUCAUUUACAUAGGGUGUACACCAAGUAACCAAUGGGAAAACUCUAAUUCUGUAUUGGGGCUCUUGGAUCCUAUUCUUGGACCCGCUCCCACCCUGUGGAGUGUACUUUUGUUUUUUGUUGCUUCAAUUUUUUUUUUUUUUUUUUUUUUUUGAGAGGGAGUCUCACUCUGUCGCCCAGGCUGGAGUGCAGUGGCAUGAUCUCAGCUCAGUGCAAGCUCUGCCUCCCGGGUUCACGUCAUUCUCCUGCCUCAGCCUCCCGAGUAGCUGGGACUACAGUGGCCCGCCACCAGGCCCGGCUCAUUUUUUUUUUUCAUAUUUUUAGUAGAGACAGGGUUUCAUCGUGUUAGCCAGGAUGGUCUUGAUCUCCUGACCUCAUGAUCCACCAGCCUCGGCCUCCCAAAAUGCUAGGAUUACAGGUGUGAGCCACUGCGCCCGGCCUUGUUGCUUCAUUCUUUCCUUGCUUUGUGUGUUUUAUCAAGUUAUUUGCUUAAGAAGCCAAGAACCUGGACACACUCCAACAGUAACAAUAGAAUAUUCCAACUACAAAUACUGCCUCCUGACUUUUUGUUAACUGCGAAGGGGAAAAGCUGUAUUAGACAAGGGAGAAAUCACCUGACACGUUUCUCCUUAUGUGAUGCUGUAUGAAAAGUUUUUUGCAAUAUAUUUUUGCAAAAAACAUGUUUAAUCUGAGUCUGAGCAAGGCCUUUGCUAUAAUUCCCACCUUACAGGAAAUAAAGAUGAUAGAGGAACAGAUAAAUGACAUCACAAGGAAACCAUUAGGCAUAGCGGAAUAUGGAACUUGCUAGAGGUCUUCAAAAAGUCAGUGUUCAUAGAGAAUAAAAAAAGUAGAGGCACUAUCAUAGAUUGAAAGAGACAUGACAAAUGCAACUAAUGGGACUGGGCAUCAGUGCAAAAUAAGCAGCUAUAAAAGACAUUUGGGACAUGAUUAGAGAAAUUCAAAUAAGACUGGUAUUAGCGGAUAUAAUAGAAUUUUCAUUAAUUUUUCUGGGGGUAAAAGUGAUACUGUGGUUAUAAAGAAAGUAGUCCUUAUUUUUAAAAGACACAUACUAAAAUAUCUGGGGUUGAAGUAUCAUGGUAUCCACCACACAUUUUGGAAAAAAUAUCUGUGAAGUAAAAAUAUUAACAUUUGUUGAUGCUAAGUUGUGUGCAGAUAAAUAUUUUAUUAUU